rnacentral:rRNA from 1 species
UACGUAGGGGGCGAGCGUUGUCCGGAAUCAUUGGGCGUAAAGCGCGUGUAGGCGGCCCGAUAAGUCCGCCGUGAAAGUCCAGGGCUCAACCCUGGAAUGCCGGUGGAAACUGUCGGGCUGGAGUCCGGAAGAGGCGAGUGGAAUUCCUGGUGUAGCGGUGAAAUGCGCAGAUAUCAGGAGGAACACCAAUGGCGAAGGCAGCUCGCUGGGACGGUACUGACGCUGAGACGCGAAAGCGUGGGGAGCGAACAGG